rnacentral:rRNA from 1 species
UUAAGCGACUAAGCGUACACGGUGGAUGCCCUGGCAGUCAGAGGCGAUGAAGGACGUGCUAAUCUGCGAUAAGCGUCGGUAAGGUGAUAUGAACCGUUAUAACCGGCGAUUUCCGAAUGGGGAAACCCAGUGUGUUUCGACACACUAUCAUUAACUGAAUCCAUAGGUUAAUGAGGCGAACCGGGGGAACUGAAACAUCUAAGUACCCCGAGGAAAAGAAAUCAACCGAGAUUCCCCCAGUAGCGGCGAGCGAACGGGGAGCAGCCCAGAGCCUGAAUCAGUGUGUGUGUUAGUGGAAGCGUCUGGAAAGGCGCGCGAUACAGGGUGACAGCCCCGUACACAAAAAUGCACAUAUUGUGAGCUCGAUGAGUAGGGCGGGACACGUGGUAUCCUGUCUGAAUAUGGGGGGACCAUCCUCCAAGGCUAAAUACUCCUGACUGACCGAUAGUGAACCAGUACCGUGAGGGAAAGGCGAAAAGAACCCCGGCGAGGGGAGUGAAAAAGAACCUGAAACCGUGUACGUACAAGCAGUGGGAGCACGCUUAGGCGUGUGACUGCGUACCUUUUGUAUAAUGGGUCAGCGACUUAUAUUCUGUAGCAAGGUUAACCGAAUAGGGGAGCCGAAGGGAAACCGAGUCUUAACUGGGCGUUAAGUUGCAGGGUAUAGACCCGAAACCCGGUGAUCUAGCCAUGGGCAGGUUGAAGGUUGGGUAACACUAACUGGAGGACCGAACCGACUAAUGUUGAAAAAUUAGCGGAUGACUUGUGGCUGGGGGUGAAAGGCCAAUCAAACCGGGAGAUAGCUGGUUCUCCCCGAAAGCUAUUUAGGUAGCGCCUCGUGAAUUCAUCUCCGGGGGUAGAGCACUGUUUCGGCAAGGGGGUCAUCCCGACUUACCAACCCGAUGCAAACUGCGAAUACCGGAGAAUGUUAUCACGGGAGACACACGGCGGGUGCUAACGUCCGUCGUGAAGAGGGAAACAACCCAGACCGCCAGCUAAGGUCCCAAAGUCAUGGUUAAGUGGGAAACGAUGUGGGAAGGCCCAGACAGCCAGGAUGUUGGCUUAGAAGCAGCCAUCAUUUAAAGAAAGCGUAAUAGCUCACUGGUCGAGUCGGCCUGCGCGGAAGAUGUAACGGGGCUAAACCAUGCACCGAAGCUGCGGCAGCGACGCUGAUGCGUUGUUGGGUAGGGGAGCGUUCUGUAAGCCUGUGAAGGUGUGCUGUGAGGCAUGCUGGAGGUAUCAGAAGUGCGAAUGCUGACAUAAGUAACGAUAAAGCGGGUGAAAAGCCCGCUCGCCGGAAGACCAAGGGUUCCUGUCCAACGUUAAUCGGGGCAGGGUGAGUCGACCCCUAAGGCGAGGCCGAAAGGCGUAGUCGAUGGGAAACAGGUUAAUAUUCCUGUACUUGGUGUUACUGCGAAGGGGGGACGGAGAAGGCUAUGUUGGCCGGGCGACGGUUGUCCCGGUUUAAGCGUGUAGGCUGGUUUUCCAGGCAAAUCCGGAAAAUCAAGGCUGAGGCGUGAUGACGAGGCACUACGGUGCUGAAGCAACAAAUGCCCUGCUUCCAGGAAAAGCCUCUAAGCAUCAGGUAACAUCAAAUCGUACCCCAAACCGACACAGGUGGUCAGGUAGAGAAUACCAAGGCGCUUGAGAGAACUCGGGUGAAGGAACUAGGCAAAAUGGUGCCGUAACUUCGGGAGAAGGCACGCUGAUAUGUAGGUGAAGCGACUUGCUCGUGGAGCUGAAAUCAGUCGAAGAUACCAGCUGGCUGCAACUGUUUAUUAAAAACACAGCACUGUGCAAACACGAAAGUGGACGUAUACGGUGUGACGCCUGCCCGGUGCCGGAAGGUUAAUUGAUGGGGUUAGCGCAAGCGAAGCUCUUGAUCGAAGCCCCGGUAAACGGCGGCCGUAACUAUAACGGUCCUAAGGUAGCGAAAUUCCUUGUCGGGUAAGUUCCGACCUGCACGAAUGGCGUAAUGAUGGCCAGGCUGUCUCCACCCGAGACUCAGUGAAAUUGAACUCGCUGUGAAGAUGCAGUGUACCCGCGGCAAGACGGAAAGACCCCGUGAACCUUUACUAUAGCUUGACACUGAACAUUGAGCCUUGAUGUGUAGGAUAGGUGGGAGGCUUAGAAGUGUGGACGCCAGUCUGCAUGGAGCCGACCUUGAAAUACCACCCUUUAAUGUUUGAUGUUCUAACGUUGACCCGUAAUCCGGGUUGCGGACAGUGUCUGGUGGGUAGUUUGACUGGGGCGGUCUCCUCCUAAAGAGUAACGGAGGAGCACGAAGGUUGGCUAAUCCUGGUCGGACAUCAGGAGGUUAGUGCAAUGGCAUAAGCCAGCUUGACUGCGAGCGUGACGGCGCGAGCAGGUGCGAAAGCAGGUCAUAGUGAUCCGGUGGUUCUGAAUGGAAGGGCCAUCGCUCAACGGAUAAAAGGUACUCCGGGGAUAACAGGCUGAUACCGCCCAAGAGUUCAUAUCGACGGCGGUGUUUGGCACCUCGAUGUCGGCUCAUCACAUCCUGGGGCUGAAGUAGGUCCCAAGGGUAUGGCUGUUCGCCAUUUAAAGUGGUACGCGAGCUGGGUUUAGAACGUCGUGAGACAGUUCGGUCCCUAUCUGCCGUGGGCGCUGGAGAACUGAGGGGGGCUGCUCCUAGUACGAGAGGACCGGAGUGGACGCAUCACUGGUGUUCGGGUUGUCAUGCCAAUGGCACUGCCCGGUAGCUAAAUGCGGAAGAGAUAAGUGCUGAAAGCAUCUAAGCACGAAACUUGCCCCGAGAUGAGUUCUCCCUGACUCCUUGAGAGUCCUGAAGGAACGUUGAAGACGACGACGUUGAUAGGCCGGGUGUGUAAGCGCAGCGAUGCGUUGAGCUAACCGGUACUAAUGAACCGUGAGGCUUAACCUU